UACAGAGGUCUCAAGCGUUGUUCGGAUUCAUUGGGCGUAAAGGGUGCGUAGGCGGCGCGGUAAGUCGGGUGUGAAAUCUCGGAGCUUAACUCCGAAACUGCAUUCGAUACUGCCGUGCUUGAGGACUGGAGAGGAGACUGGGAUUUACGGUGUAGCGGUGAAAUGCGUAGAUAUCGUAAGGAAGACCAGUGGCGAAGGCGGGUCUCGUGGACAGUUCCUGACGCUGAGGCACGAAGGUCAGGGGAGCAAACGGG
rnacentral:rRNA from 1 species